CACUCCUGCGGGAGGCAGCAGUGGGGAAUUUUACGCAAUGGGGGAAACCCUGACGUAGCGACACCGCGUGAGCGAAGAAGCCCUUUGGGGUGUAAAGCUCUGUCAGCUGGAACGAAAACAAUGACGGUACCAGCAGAGGAAGCAUCGGCUAACUACGUGCCAGCAGCCGCGGUAAGACGUAGGAUGCGAGCGUUGUCCGGAUUUAUUGGGCGUAAAGAGUUCGUAGGUGGUUUGUUAAGUUUGGUGUUAAAGAUCGGGGCUCAACCCUGGGACUGCACUGAAUACUGGCAGACUCGAGUGUGGUAGAGGCUAGUGGAAUUCCCAGUGUAGCGGUGAAAUGCGUAGAUAUUGGGAAGAACACCGGUGGCGUAGGCGACUUGCUGGGCCAUAACUGACGCUGAGGAACGAAAGCCAGGGGAGCGAAUGGGAUUAGAAACCCCAGUAGUCCC
rnacentral:rRNA from 1 species